CUGCAGCCUCUCCUGUUCAUCAAGAACCUGAAAAUCCAGCUUCUGAAGUUCAUCAUGAAGUUACUACAAACGAAGAAGGUAGAGAGGAUGAAGAAGCUCAAAAAGUAAUAUCAACAGUUUUGGUACAAAUGGCAUCAGAAGGUAUACUGCAACCAGAUGAUGGAGGAGUCACAGACACCCUUAUUGCAAACAUUCAAACUGUGGAACCGGGUGUAUACGCUUACCAAACAACUGCCAAGGAAACUGGUGAAAAUGAAACUGUUAUCGAAGAAACAGUGAACUUGGCAGAAUCUACACAAAACAUUCAACAAAAAGUUCAGGAAAAA